GAAGCUCCAAGGUGGAGCGUGCAAGCCCGAC
rnacentral:sRNA from 1 species